GCCAGACUCCUACGGGAGGCAGCAGUGGGGAAUAUUGCACAAUGGGGGGAACCCUGAUCCAGCGACGCCGCGUGGGUGAAGGAGUAUUUCGGUAUGUAAAGCCCUAUCAGCAGGGAAGAACAAUGACGGUACCUGACUAAGAAGCACCGGCUAAAUACGUGCCAGCAGCAGCGGUAAUACGUAUGGUGCAAGCGUUAUCCGGAUUUACUGGGUGUAAAGGGAGCGUAGACGGCGAUGCAAGUCUGAAGUGAAAGGCGGGGGCCCAACCCCCGGACUGCUUUGGAAACUGUAUAGCUGGAGUGCAGGAGAGGUAAGUGGAAUUCCUAGUGUAGCGGUGAAAUGCGUAGAUAUUAGGAGGAACACCAGUGGCGAAGGCGGCUUACUGGACGGCAACUGACGCUGAGGCUCGAAAGCGUGGGGAGCAAACAGGAUUAGAUCCCCCCGUAA
rnacentral:rRNA from 1 species